rnacentral:tRNA from 1 species
CUGGAGUUGAAGCUCAGUGGUAGAGUGCUUGCCUCAUACGUGUGAGGCGCUGGGUUCAAUUCCUAGCACUACAUA